CAGCCGCCGCGGUAAUACGAAGGGGGCUAGCGUUGCUCGGAAUCACUGGGCGUAAAGGGUGCGUAGGCGGGUUUUUAAGUCAGAGGUGAAAUCCUGGAGCUCAACUCCAGAACUGCCUUUGAUACUGAAAGUCUUGAGUUCGGGAGAGGUGAGUGGAACUGCGAGUGUAGAGGUGAAAUUCGUAGAUAUUCGCAAGAACACCAGUGGCGAAGGCGGCUCACUGGCCCGAUACUGACGCUCAUGCACGAAAGCGUGGGGAGCAAACAGGAUUAGAUACCCCCGUAGUCCCUGUCUCUUAUAC
rnacentral:rRNA from 1 species